CAGGGAGACAACAAAAUGUUAAAUAUUAAUUUUGUCACCUUAGGUCGAUCGGUAUCUCACAUUCUUAAUUUUUAAGGAUUUUAUUUCCUAAGUUUUUUCUAGGUCACACCCAUUACUUUCCCUGGGCCAUUAGCUCAGGUGGUUAGAGCGCACCCCUGAUAAGGGUGAGGUCCCUGGUUCAAGUCCAGGAUGGCCCAUAUCUCUAUGUUGGGGGUAUAGCUCAGUUGGUAGAGCGCCUGCUUUGCAAGCAGGAUGUCAGCGGUUCGAGUCCGCUUACCUCCACUGAUCACCACCUCUUCCAUAAUUAUCAAAAGGGAAGUGUUUUGAGUUGUGAUCAAUUUCUGAACGAAUCUAGCUUCCUAAUCAAUCUGAUUAAGAUGCUGGACUCAUUGAAUUUAUUUCAUUGUUUUCAGAGAACCUUGACAACUGCAUAGAUUAUUUUAAAGACAAUAAGCAUCUUUAAAGAUGCAGAUUUAUUAUUUGUGCGAAAGCAUUAAUAACAAUUCUAUUAAACUGAUGCUUCAAUUUUUUGAAGUUAUU
rnacentral:tRNA from 1 species